rnacentral:miRNA from 1 species
UACCCGUAAAUUCUCGGACAGUU